AUAAAAAAGCAGCAAAUGCAUACAAUGACAUGACAUAAGGACUAAUAAUAGCCCUGAACUACUACGUAGAAUAACAAACUCGCGAUUUGGUGCUCUGACGAACCAGUAAAAAUCUUACCUUUAAGGGAGCCUCCAACUCCAACAGCAUAGGCUGACUCAAAAAAAUAGAACGAGAAGUAGUACAUAGGUAUCUAAUUUCUGCAUCAGAUAACUGAACCUGCUUACUAGGUUUGCCAUUACGGGCUAAGAUACGAGGUUAGUUUCAAAUGUCAAUCAUUCAAUCAUUAUCGUGUGUACAAACCUUUUACAAGUUUUUCAAUAAUCGCAUCAAUAUCAUAAUCCAUAAUUUUUUCCUCGAAACUCCUCAAAAAUGAGAUAAGAUGGAGAACCCACUUGGAUUGCGGUAGUUGGCUUGUGUUUGGUACAUCCAAAAUUAUAGCAGUAUCUUUAUCGCAGUACCUGUAAAUUAGGGCGAGCACAACGCCUUCCAAUGUCGUUCAUCUUUUUCAAAUUUUGCUUUUAUCUCAAUUUCAUAGUCUUUAGUUAUUUCUAUUAGUUCCUUUCAGCUAGUUUAC